rnacentral:rRNA from 1 species
CCCUUAGAUGUUCUGGGCCGCACGCGCGCUACACUGAUGCAUUCAACGAGUCUAAAACCUGCUCUGAUAGGGGUGGGUAAUCUUUUGAAUGUGCAUCGUGAUUGGGAUAGAUGAUUGCAAUUUUUCAUCUUCAACGAGGAAUGCCUAGUAAACGAAAGUCAUCAGCUUGCAUUGAUUACGUCCCUGCCCUUUGUACACACCGCCCGUCGCUCCUACCGAUUGAAUGAUCCGAUGAAUAUCAUGGAUUGAGGAUGCAAGCAGGUUCGCCUGUCUUCAUCUUCGAGAAGUGAAGUAAAUCUUAUCAUUUAGAGGAAGGAGAAGUCGUAACA